UACGUAGGGGCCGAGGCGUUGUCCGGAGUUAUUAGGGCGUGAAAGCGCGAGCGCAGGCGGCCUCGCGCGCCCGACGUGAAAAGCCCCCGGACUUACCCGGGGGUAACGGGUGUUGGGGACGGCGGGGCCUUGAGGGCGGGAGAGGUCGGUGGAAUUCCCGGUGUAGGUGGUGAAAUCGUAGAGAUCGGGAGGAACACCUGUGGCGAAGGCGGCCGACUGGGCCGACCCUGACGCUGAGGCGCGAAAGCGUGGGGAGCAAACGGG
rnacentral:rRNA from 1 species